rnacentral:rRNA from 1 species
UACGGGGGGGGUAAGCGUUGUUCGGAAUUACUGGGCGUAAAGGGCUCGUAGGCGGUGUGUCACGUCGGCCGUGAAAACCUGCAGCUUAACUGUGGGCGUGCGGGCGAUACGGGCAGACUGGAGUACUGCAGGGGAGACUGGAAUUCCUGGUGUAGCGGUGGAAUGCGCAGAUAUCAGGAGGAACCCCGGUGGCGAAAGCGGGUCUCUGGGCAGUAACUGACGCUGAGGAGCGAAAGCGUGGGGAGCGAACAGG